AAAGGAUUCUGCUGUCGGUCCCACUCCAAAGUUCAAAAAAUGGGUGGUGGGCACAGAAUCCGGCCU
rnacentral:pre_miRNA from 1 species